UGGGUGGAUUAGUGGCGAACGGGUGAGUAACACGUGAGUAACCUGCCCUUAACUCUGGGAUAAGCCUGGGAAACUGGGUCUAAUACCGGAUAGGAGCGUCCACCGCAUGGUGGGUGUUGGAAAGAUUUAUCGGUUUUGGAUGGACUCGCGGCCUAUCAGCUUGUUGGUGAGGUGAUGGCUCACCAAGGCGACGACGGGUAGCCGGCCUGAGAGGGUGACCGGCCACACUGGGACUGAGACACGGCCCAGACUCCUACGGGAGGCAGCAGUGGGGAAUAUUGCACAAUGGGCGCAAGCCUGAUGCAGCGACGCCGCGUGAGGGAUGACGGCCUUCGGGUUGUAAACCUCUUUCAGUAGGGAAGAAGCGAAAGUGACGGUACCUGCAGAAGAAGCACCGGCUAACUACGUGCCAGCAGCCGCGGUAAUACGUAGGGUGCGAGCGUUAUCCGGAAUUAUUGGGCGUAAAGAGCUCGUAGGCGGUUUGUCGCGUCUGUCGUGAAAGUCCGGGGCUUAACCCCGGAUCUGCGGUGGGUACGGGCAGACUAGAGUGCAGUAGGGGAGACUGGAAUUCCUGGUGUAGCGGUGGAAUGCGCAGAUAUCAGGAGGAACACCGAUGGCGAAGGCAGGUCUCUGGGCUGUAACUGACGCUGA
rnacentral:rRNA from 1 species